ensembl:lncRNA
GCAGAGCAAGGGGAACUUUAGGUCUCAGAGCGAGUGACAUGACCUGAUUGAAACGCUUUUAACUCGGUUACACAUGCACAUGUAUUAGUGAUCCUAAUAUUGGGCCUAAGCUUUCAUGGCUAACCAUCUAACAAUUCGUGUUUGGUGAGGCCAAUGUAGUGAAAGUAAUAUGUGUAACGUUACAAUUGGUUAUAAAAGAGAUUAACUACAAAAAACACUCGGAAUGCAUCAGAUCACCUAUCCCGUUGUUUGAUGUUUGUGUAGAGUUUGGCUCCUUGUUUGCACAUUGAUAGGGGACAUAAGUCAAACUUAAUUUGGUUUAGCACUUACAAGCACUCCUUGUAAUUCUAGUAAUCAAUUAAUUAUUAAACAAAAGUGUACAAUGUAUAGAAUCAAACAUAUUUUUGAUUUACUUGUACUAUCACAAUUUAUUUUAGAACACAAGUGUUAAUUUAUAGGCGGCGGCAUCAUUUCAGGAAGUGGCUUGAUCAGGACUGUGCUUCUGAAACUCUACUUCAUUCAACAGCUUUCCAAGCUGGAGUGAGUAGCUUGGCAAAAUAUGAUUGGAAAUCCAAAAGCAUUAUUCUUCAAUGGAUGAAGUGGAACUAAAGGAGAUUGUGAUUGACAUCAAAUCUAGAUGGCCAGUGCUGUUCACAGACAGAAAAAAGACAACUGAUUCUGAGGAAGGCACCCGCGGAGUGAAAAUCGGUGUCGUUGUGGAUGGAGCUGAAGCAGGUGACCCAAUGCCAGCUCAUGUGGGUACAUGAGCUUCACAAUGUCCCAAAUGCCUUUGCCACUUUGAUUGGACUUCUUUAAUGUCUGAAUAUGGAUUACUCAAAAUGUUUGAGGUCUACUUUUGAGGUAGUUCAGAAAAUAUUCUUGAAGAUUGGUGCAGAAAACUACAGCAAAGGUCCAUAGGCUGAACCGUCUUCUUCAUUAAGACAACUAAUUAGUGUGUUUUUGUUUUACUCGCAGUAGUUGAGUUCAUUCCUCGGACAACGAUGCUGUUAUUUGCCUAAAUCUUACAAAUCUCCGUUUUGGGAAGUCUUAAGUUACCCUAUUUUUAUGUGUGACCUUCAGUCUACAAACUGAAGGUCAAAAAAGUGCAUUCUGAAAAUGUUUACACCAUGUUAGAUUUUUUCACACUCAACACCAACUUGUCAUAUAAACCGUUCUGAAGGUUGUCAUUUCUCAGUGUUUUAAUUUUUAUUUACCGUGCCAUAACCAUGUUUCAAUAGUUCCAUUUACAAGUGUAUGGGUUUCUUGGACAGUAAAAAAAAAAGUUUGACAAAACAUUUAUCUUUAUAAAAAAAAAUCUUAGGUGAUAUUGGUUAAGACCAAUUAGUGACAGCAGAAUUUGGAUUCCUGUUUAAAUGCACCCAAAGACAUGCACCUAAAAACAUGCAUUGUUAGAUUUUUUUUCUCUCAUGACAAUCAAAAUGCGUUCUAGGGAACAAUACAUCGUUGCAAAUGUAUUUGUUUGUUAAUACAUAGUGUAAUAAAUGUUCUGAAAUACACAAUAGGACUAUUUUGUUGUUAUUACAAGCUAGAUGGAAUUAAUUGAUUUCGAUGUAAGUUGUUGAAUCGAUCAAUGAACUCUUGAUAGUAAAUCAAUCAUUGGAAAUAUAAAGCCAUUUUAAAAUGGAGAUCAGCUUUACUAAAUCUGAACUUUGUUCAACUGUACAUACUGGGUUAUUUUAAGUUUACAUAUCUUAUUAAAGUAAUUUUGUUGAGUUAGAACAGUGGUUCUCUACUUGCAGCCUGUGGCAAGCUUGUCUGUUAUGUCAUUAAUAGUAUAGUUAUUUAUUUGCUUGACUUGCUCAUAGUCACAGUGUAGCACCACCAGCCAAACAGGUUGAGAACUGUUACAAUAACGCAAUGAAGUAGGCUUGACUUUAAUUGUUAAGUCUUUUAAAUGCUCAGAGCCUUUUUCAUGCUCAGAGCACUUAACAUGUCACGUUACCCUUGCUUAGACCAUUCUGUUAUGUAACCUUUAAAUGUAGUAAUGAAAACUGUAUUACUAGUUACAAUAACUUAAUUGCAAGUUGACUUAACAAAAUGUGAAAUUAAUUCAACUAAAAAUGGUCGGUUAUACUGACAUGAUGAUGUGGACUUAAAUGUUUUUUAUUUGUCAACAGUAAUGUAGCUUUAGUUAUUAGAACUCCACAUUUGUUAACAUAAAGGUUUAAGUUUUUUCAAAUAAUGUUAAAUGAACAAUUAACAAAUGUCAAAUUAACCGUCUAUUAUUAGUCAAAAUAAAUGUAAUAAAAGCUAGGGUAACGUGAAGUACUCUGAGCUUGAAAAAGGCAAUGCAACCAGAUCACUGGAAAUAAUAAGUUGAAACAAUAAAUCAUUUUUAUAGCCUACUUGGUCCCUUCGUGACAAUUUCAACCCUUUCA